ACUCCUACGGGAGGCAGCAGUGGGGAAUCUUAGACAAUGGGGGCAACCCUGAUCUAGCCAUGCCGCGUGAGUGAUGAAGGCCUUAGGUUGUAAAGCUCUUUCAGCUGGGAAGAUAAUGACGGUACCAGCAGAAGAAGCCCCGGCUAACUCCGUGCCAGCAGCCGCGGUAAUACGGAGGGGGCUAGCGUUGUUCGGAAUUACUGGGCGUAAAGCGCACGUAGGCGGACCAGAAAGUUGGGGGUGAAAUCCCGGGGCUCAACCCCGGAACUGCCUUCAAAACUAUUGGUCUGGAGUUCGAGAGAGGUGAGUGGAAUACCGAGUGUAGAGGUGAAAUUCGUAGAUAUUCGGUGGAACACCAGUGGCGAAGGCGGCUCACUGGCUCGAUACUGACGCUGAGGUGCGAAAGGCGUGGGGAGCAAACAGGAUUAGAUACCCUGGUAGGAUACCG
rnacentral:rRNA from 1 species